rnacentral:lncRNA from 1 species
AAGAUCUUUAUCGUUUCAACCUCAGUGCCAAGGAUUCAUAUAAUCCCGUAUGUCAUUCCCUUUGUCCUUCGGUAUGUUACUUGCCCGAGAUUCGAUCGUCAAUAUCCGCAUACCUAUUUCAAUCUCGUUUACCGGCAAGUCUCUUUACUCGUUCCGUAAUACAAGAUCCCGCAACUUACACUAAGUUACAUUGUUUGCAAGCCUUGUGUGUGAUGUUCUAUUAUCGAGUGGGCCCCGAGAUACCUCUUCGUCACAGGGAGUGACAAAUCCCAGUCUUGAUCCAUACUAACU